CCUACGGGAGGCAGCAGUGAGGAAUAUUGGUCAAUGGACGAGAGUCUGAACCAGCCAAGUAGCGUGAAGGAUGACUGCCCUAUGGGUUGUAAACUUCUUUUAUAAAGGAAUAAAACGAGGCACGUGUGCCUUUUUGCAUGUACUUUAUGAAUAAGGAUCGGCUAACUCCGUGCCAGCAGCCGCGGUAAUACGGAGGAUCCGAGCGUUAUCCGGAUUUAUUGGGUUUAAAGGGUGCGUAGAUGGGUUGUUCAGUCAGUUGUGAAAGUUUGCGGCUCAACCGUAAAAUUGCAAUUGAUACUGGCAGUCUUGAGUACAGUUGAGGUAGGCGGAAUUCGUGGUGUAGCGGUGAAAUGCUUAGAUAUCACGAAGAACCCCGAUUGCGAAGGCAGCUUACUAAACUGUGACUGACAUUGAUGCUCGAAAGUGUGGGUAUCGAACAGGAUUAGAUACCCGGGUAGUC
rnacentral:rRNA from 1 species